UGAGGAAUAUUGGUCAAUGGGCGCAAGCCUGAACCAGCCAUCCCGCGUGCAGGAUGACGGCCUACGGGUUGUAAACUGCUUUUAUACAGGAAGAAAAAUCCCGAUGUAUCGGGACUUGCCGGUACUGUAUGAAUAAGCAUCGGCUAACUCCGUGCCAGCAGCCGCGGUAAUACGGAGGAUGCAAGCGUUAUCCGGAUUCAUUGGGUUUAAAGGGUGCGUAGGCGGCUUUUUAAGUCAGUGGUGAAAUCCUGCCGCUUAACGGUAGAAUUGCCAUUGAUACUGAGGAGCUUGAGUUCAGUUGAGGUAAGCGGAAUGUGUAGUGUAGCGGUGAAAUGCUUAGAUAUUACACGAAACACCGAUUGCGAAGGCAGCUUACUAAACUGACACUGACGCUGAUGCACGAAAAGCGUGGGGAUCGAACAGGAUUAGAUACCCUGGUAGUCCACGCCGUAAAGCGAUGAUCACUCGCUGUAUGCGAUAUACCGUAUGCGGCCAAGCGAAA
rnacentral:rRNA from 1 species